UACGUAGGGGGCAAGCGUUGAUCGGAAUCACUGGGCUUAGAGCGCAUGUAGGCGGGUCGGCAAGUCACCUGUGAAAGCCCUCGGCUCAACCGAGGAAUUGCAGGUGAAACUGCCGCUCUUGAGGCAGGUAGAGGUGAGCGGAACGUGUGGUGGAGCGGUGAAAUGCGUAGAUAUCACACGGAACGCCGGUGGUGAAAACGGCUCACUGGGCCUGACCUGACGCUGAGAUGCGAGAGCGUGGGGAGCAAACAGG
rnacentral:rRNA from 1 species